UGUCAUGUUAAUCUCAAACCGCUCGUCUUUCAUGAACCUGAAUGGCGUUCGGUUUGGACUUGGAGGAUUAGUUUGCUGGCCUUUGUGGUCGGCUCCCUCUAAAUGCAUUAGCUGGACUUU
rnacentral:rRNA from 1 species